GUCAGGUUGGCCGAGUGGUCUAAGGCGUUGGACUUAAGUUCCAAUUCCCAUACGGGAGCGUGGGUUCGAACCCCACACCUGGCA